rnacentral:rRNA from 1 species
GCCUACGGGGCGCAGCAGUGGGGAAUAUUGGGCAAUGGGCGCAAGCCUGACCCAGCAACGCCGCGUGAAGGAAGAAGGCUUUCGGGUUGUAAACUUCUUUUCUCAGGGACGAAGAAAGUGACGGUACCUGAGGAAUAAGCCACGGCUAACUACGUGCCAGCAGCCGCGGUAAUACGUAGGAUGCGAGCGUUAUCCGGAUUUAUUGGGUUUAAAGGGUGCGUAGGCGGGCUUUUAAGUCAGCGGUAAAAAUUCGGGGCUCAACCCCGUCCGGCCGUUGAAACUGGGGGCCUUGAGUGGGCGAGAAG